CCAUGGAGACGGAGGGACGCGCGAGCGCCCGGCCGUGAGGCGCCGUCCCUCGGCGCGGGGGGUAAAGCCUCCAUGGCCAUGGGAAUUCCCGUGUGCCCAGCCUCCCCCGGCCCUCGAACGCCUUUCCCUGGCUCAACGGGAACGCGUCGUGGAGAACCAGGCUUUAAGUAGUUUAUUUAGUACCAGCACUCGUCCCAUAAAAGAUACCGUUAGUGAAACUCGGGAGUCCUAGGUUUUCAGGACUUAAAUUAUUCACAUCAUGAAAAACAAGACCUAUGGCAGCCCUGCAGACAACUUGUUGUGUAGCUCUGUCAGUAAACCCAUCAGGACACACAUGAUCACUUCAUAUUUCCAGGAAGGCUCUACCAACAACUGGACAGACACAAAUGAUACAUUGCAGAUAAAACAUGAUAUGUAACAAGCAGAUAAAACUAAGAGGGAAGUAGUUUAUCUUUGUUUUUCAGUUGUUUCUUGCUGACACCUGUUUACUGAAAGAAAAAUUAACCAAAAAUAUGAGUGACAUUGUAUUUCA